CAAUGUUCAAGCAUUCUUCCUGGUUGGUUCAACUCUGAUGACAAUAAGGCGUGUUGUGAUUGGCGUCGCAUGCAGAUAGAGGGAGAUGGUGAACGUCAGUUCUCCCUAGUAUGAAAAUGUGAUGCAAGGGAUUUUGCCAUCGACAGCCAUCAACAUCGUUAAGCCCUGCACAACUAACCUGCUGUUUCCUAUUUAACAACAUAUAUUUACAUAUGUUAUAUUUUGUAUUGUAUUUUGUUCACCCAGUAUGAAAAUGUGAUGCAAGGAAUUUUACUAUUGACAGCCAUCAACAAUGUUAAGCUCUGCACAAAUAACGUGCUGUUUCAUAUUUAACAACAUAAAUAAAUAAUGCUCAACUGGAA